rnacentral:rRNA from 1 species
GACGUAGGAGGCGAGCGUUGUCCGGAUUCAUUGGGCGUAAAGAGCGCGCAGGCGGCUUGGUAAGUCGGAUGUGAAAUCCCGAGGCUCAACCUCGGGUCUGCAUCCGAUACUGCCCGGCUAGAGGUAGGUAGGGGAGAUCGGAAUUCCUGGUGUAGCGGUGAAAUGCGCAGAUAUCAGGAGGAACACCGGUGGCGAAGGCGGUUCUCUGGGCAUUACCUGACGCUGAGGAGCGAAAGUGUGGGGAGCGAACAGG